GGAGAGGUGGCCGAGUGGUUGAAGGCGCACGACUCGAAAUCGUGUAUGCGUGCAAACGUAUCGGGGGUUCGAAUCCCCCCUUCUCCGCCA
rnacentral:tRNA from 1 species